UCCGGUUUGUCACCGGCAGUCUCCUUAGAGUGCCCUUGCGUAGCAACUAAGGACAAGGGUUGCGCUCGUUGCGGGACUUAACCCAACAUCUCACGACACGAGCUGACGACAGCCAUGCAGCACCUGUGUUCCGGUUCCCUUUCGGGCACAACCGCCUUUCAGCAGCCUUCCGGACAUGUCAAACCCAGGUAAGGUUCUUCGCGUUGCAUCGAAUUAAUCCGCAUGCUCCGCCGCUUGUGCGGGCCCCGUCAAUUCCUUUGAGUUUUAACCUUGCGGCCGUACUCCCCAGGCGGAGAACUUAUCGCGUUUGCUUCGACACCCAUGAGCUUCUGCUCAUAAACAUCUAGUCCUCAUCGUUUACAGCGUGGACUAC
rnacentral:misc_RNA from 1 species